GAUGAACGCUAGCGGGAGGCUUAACACAUGCAAGUCGAGGGGCAGCACGAGGUAGCAAUACUUUGGUGGCGACCGGCGCACGGGUGAGUAACGCGUAUGCAACCUACCCUGUACAGGGGGAUAACCCGGAGAAAUUCGGACUAAUACCCCAUAAAGAUAUUUAGAGGCAUCUUUGAAUAUUUAAAGUUCCGGCGGUACGGGAUGGGCAUGCGUAACAUUAGCUAGUUGGUAAGGUAACGGCUUACCAAGGCAACGAUGUUUAGGGGUCCUGAGAGGGUGAUCCCCCACACUGGUACUGAGACACGGACCAGACUCCUACGGGAGGCAGCAGUGAGGAAUAUUGGUCAAUGGGCGCAAGCCGGAACCAGCCAUCCCGCGUGAAGGAAGAAUGCGCUAUGCGUUGUAAACUUCUUUUCCAGGGGAAUAAAAUUUUGUACGUGUACGGAAUUGAAGGUACCCUGGGAAUAAGCAUCGGCUAACUCCGUGCCAGCAGCCGCGGUAACAC
rnacentral:rRNA from 1 species